GAUGAAGAACGUAGCGAAAUGCGAUAAGUAAUGUGAAUUGCAGAAUUCAGUGAAUCAUCGAAUCUUUGAACGCACAUUGCGCCCGCCAGUAUUCUGGCGGGCAUGCCUGUUCGAGCGUCAUUUCAACCAUCAAGCCCCCGGCUUGUGUUGGGGACCUGCGGCUGCCGCAGGCCCUGAAAAGCAGUGGCGGGCUCGCUGUCACACCGAGCGUAGUAGCAUACAUCUCGCUCUGGGCGUGCUGCGGGUUCCGGCCGUUAAACCACCUUCAUAACCCAAGGUUGACCUCGGAUCAGGUAGGAAGACCCGCUGAACUUAAGCAUAUCAAUAGGCGGAGGA
rnacentral:misc_RNA from 1 species